UGCAGUCGAACGGAAGGCCCUUCGGGGUACUCGAGUGGCGAACGGGUGAGUAACACGUGGGUGAUCUGCCCUGCACUCUGGGAUAAGCCUGGGAAACUGGGUCUAAUACCGGAUAGGACCACACACUUCAUGGUGAGUGGUGCAAAGCUUUUGCGGUGUGGGAUGAGCCCGCGGCCUAUCAGCUUGUUGGUGGGGUAAUGGCCCACCAAGGCGACGACGGGUAGCCGGCCUGAGAGGGUGACCGGCCACACUGGGACUGAGAUACGGCCCAGACUCCUACGGGAGGCAGCAGUGGGGAAUAUUGCACAAUGGGCGCAAGCCUGAUGCAGCGACGCCGCGUGAGGGAUGACGGCCUUCGGGUUGUAAACCUCUUUCAGUAGGGACGAAGCGAAAGUGACGGUACCUACAGAAGAAGGACCGGCCAACUACGUGCCAGCAGCCGCGGUAAUACGUAGGGUCCGAGCGUUGUCCGGAAUUACUGGGCGUAAAGAGCUCGUAGGUGGUUUGUCGCGUUGUUCGUGAAAACUCACAGCUUAACUGUGGGCGUGCGGGCGAUACGGGCAGACUAGAGUACUGCAGGGGAGACUGGAAUUCCUGGUGUAGCGGUGGAAUGCGCAGAUAUCAGGAGGAACACCGGUGGCGAAGGCGGGUCUCUGGGCAGUAACUGACGCUGAGGAGCGAAAGCGUGGGUAGCGAACAGGAUUAGAUACCCUGGUAGUCCACGCCGUAAACGGUGGGUACUAGGUGUGGGUUUCCUUCCUUGGGAUCCGUGCCGUAGCUAACGCAUUAAGUACCCCGCCUGGGGAGUACGGUCGCAAGACUAAACUCAAGGAAUUGACGGGGCCCGCACAAGCGGCGGAGCAUGUGAUUAUUCGAUGCACGCGAGAUCUUACCUGGUUUGACAUGCACAGGACGUACUAGAGAU
rnacentral:rRNA from 1 species